CCCCUCUAGUUUGUGACUGGGAUGCCGAGGAUCACAAAGCGGGUGUGAAUAACCAUGCAAACUUACAUGGUGCCCUCACAUGUUACAGUCACCUAUUCGAUGUGCCGGUAAACCACACACGCUCCACCGAACUAUGACAAACAUUGAGUCACCCUUUGCUACCUUUGCUUAGAACCAUUUAGUGUGCCGGUAAACCACACACGCUCCACUAACGUCUUCGCAAGGGCACAAAGUGUAAUUUCAUGGAAUUGCAUCAAUUCACUUUUGCCUAAGUAACUAAGAUUGGGAAUUUGUAAAACAUUUAGUUACUUUUGUACUUCAUUAUACUUAUAAUGGAAGGUUUUGUCCUAUCCUACCCGUUCGGCUAACGACCCUCCACUAGUCAAGAGUGCGGUGGGUAAGAGUGGAUACCCAUUCAAUCGCCAUUUUAUAGGCAAUUUCCUUAAACACCCCUUAUAGACCAGCUUCGUGAAUGAGGCCUACUAACGGUAAGACUGACUUUUACUCAUACAUAUAUAUAAUGUUAGACUUUUAAUGUUAUAUAUAGUAUAGGGUGUAUUUUACACUUUUAAAAUACUAGGUGGUCAAAUUUAACAAUUAUACUUUUAAUUCAAUUAAAUUGUAAACCAAAACUUUUAUGGAUUUAUUAAACCUCUUUUAAUUAUACACCUUAAUUAAUUAAUAAAACCAUAAGGGUGUGAUUUGAACUUUUCAAAACAAUACUAGGGUUUUAGAAUUUAACAUUCCUAAAUUAAACUUUUAAUCAACUUUUAAAUUCCAAAACUUGAGGGCAAGUUUUGAAACAUUUCAAAACAUUAGGGUUUAGAAUUUAAAUAUACAUCAAAAUUAAACUUUUAAUCAAAAUUUAAAUUCCAAAACUUGAGGGCAAGUUUUGAAACCUUUUCAAAACAUUAGGGUUUCAACUAUUUAAAUUUCAAAACAAAACUUUUGAGUUCAAAUUUAAACUAUAAAACCUAAAGGGGAAAAUUGAAACUUUUCAUAACACAAGGAUCAAAUAACAAAUAAUAUAAAUUAAACAAUUAAUUUCAUCAUUAUCUAUAUUUGACCUAAUUUCAAUUUCUUGCAAAAUAAGUUACCCAAUUAAUACAAAUAAUCAACUUUAAUCAUAUAAGGAAGUUAUUAUCUAAUCAAUUGGUAAUUAUCUUUUGUUUAAUCAAGGAUAUACUCAAAAAUAUGAAUAAAAUCGGAUUUUAAUGAUCUAAAACAGAUAAGGCAAGUAUCCAUGAGAAAAACAGCAAGAAAUCCCGAAAUCCCCUCUUUCUGACGCUCGAACUCGCCGAGUACCCAUAUGGACUCGCCGAGUAGGGGCCUACUCGCCGAGUCCACAAUGGGACUCGCCGAGUUCAUCAGGCAGUUUCACAAAAAUCGAAUUUUUCAACUUGAACAAACAUACAAGGCAUCAAUACAAUAGAAACCAAUCUAGGCUCUGAUACCACUGAUGGGUUUUGGUCAUAAGAACAUCCUAUGUGCUCAUACAAACCCUAAUGCUUGGAUCUAGGUUUCUCUAUUGUACAUGCAAUUCAUCCAAGACUAUAAACCCUAGAUCUAGCAUAUGAUAAUCAAUAUAACAUAUAAAUUAGGGUUUAGAUCAUACCUUGAUUGUUAUGUAGCAAUAACAAUCUCAAAUCCUCCUUGUAUUGACUUUAGAAAGCUUAGAGUCACAAAUGUCACUCCUCUAAUGGUUCACAAACACCAAGAGCAAGAGGAUGAAGAAGAGAAGAGAAGGAGGCUCUCAAAAACGUGUGGAAACCCUAGACAAUUAGUUCACCACGUUUUUGGAGCAUAAGGGUUCUAUAUAUAGUGAGGCUAUUAGGGUUAUCUAACAAGGAAACCCUAAUUUGGAUGCUUAAGCCCUAAGCAACCCAUGGACUCCUUUCCUUAAAGGCCUUGGACGAUUUCUAAUGGGUUUCCCCAUAGAAUUCGUCCAACCUUAUAAUAUAAGGCAAUCCAUGGCCCAAUUGCAAUUAUCUUAUAAUUACAAUUCCAGUCCCUUAAGUUUAAUUAAUCUCUUUUAGUCACAAACUUAAUUCUUAUUAAUUCUUGACUAAUAUUAAUUAAACAAUAUGAUUUCUCCUUUAAUAUAUUAUUCUCAUAAUAUAUUAAUAAAUCAUAUUUAAUCCUUUCUCUCCAUAAUUCAUCCUAUCAAGUUGCUUUGGUGAAGGCAACCCAAAAGGACCAUGCACCAUCGGGUCAAGUACAUACCAAAAUAGUUAUGGACUUAGACACUAAUCCAACAGUCUCCCACUUGGAUAAGUCUAAUAACUAUUCUGCGUAUGACUUCAGAUCCUGAUCUGCAAUCGUAGCUUUCCAAAGCCGCUGUCAACUCUGAUCCUAUCAGAUACACGUGUCCUUUAGAUAAGGGAUCAUAUAUUCCUCCAUUCUAGAUAUCGUAUGAGACAUGAUUUCUAAUCAUUCUCUCUGUACUAUUUCUCGACUUCCGAUUUAUGACGACUGACUAAUUGAACAAAUCAAAUUAGCCCUAGCCCGGCCGAGCAUUUACGUUUGUCAUCACUAAAUCAUCGAGGGGCCCAAAGAUAUCGCUUUUAUCCUACUUUGGAUAAAAGGAACGGAUAAACUUUGAUUCAAUGCUCGCUUGCACUCACUCACCGAAUCACACACAACAAUAUGUUUUAUAACACCAAGUUACUGGUGCGUUUACAUAUUAUCAAUGUGUAACCGACUCGCAAGAUACAACUCACACAUCUCGGUUUCAAGAAUAUAAGAUAUUAUCGUCUCACCAAUCACUCGUGAUAAAAUCCAUGAAGUGAUCCAAGUGAGCGUGGGUUUAAUCCAAUGCUCAAAUCAUAUUCAUAAGCACUCAUGAACGUUGCAGCAAACAUUUGCUUAUGUCUAAUACACUUUAGACAAUCCACACACCAAUUCACGACAGUCUUCAUUCAUACCUACUUCCAACAUAUGAACGACUGUGGUCCGUUCGAAUAAUUUGAUUGUUCUGAACCAAUUUAAUUAUUCAGGAAGUCAAAACAUGCAAAGUGAAACACAAGAAUAAUACUAAUCCCAUAUGGUCCCAAACCUUUGAGUAUAAAUAAAACACCUUUUAUUUAUCACCAUAUCGAUUACUCAUUAUUUGUUGUUUCGGGUAAUCAACUUCUUACUUGAAUUAUUACUACACUUGUCCCAUGCUCUUAGCAUGCACACAAUGUUUACCUAUGGUCCUUACUUUGUGAAAUAGAUCAAAUGAACACAUUUCCAAUCAUACUCAUUUCACAACUCCCAAUCCUUAUCAUAAGUAUAAGAAUAUCAAAUUCUUGCCACUUAUAGAAUAUGCUAGAUUCUAACAUUUUAUGCAAUGAUCCUUUCGUAAAGUCAUAGCUCAAAAUCAUCAAGACUUGGCCAAUCUCUAUCAGAAACAAUUCUAUAGAUAUGAUGUCUCUCACUCAAAGUACAUUCCUUUGAACAUCCUUCUUGCAUAAAAGUUUCUAAUCUAGACAUAGACUCUCAAUAUCCAACUCCCAAUAUGGAAACAUUUCCAUAUUUGCCAUAUGACAACUCAUUCUUAAUAGAAUCUUAUCUAUUCAUAAUAAUGUCGAUAUGGUCCAUCCAAUACCAUACUUCCAACUACUCACAAGCGACCAAUCCUCAGCGAACUUUGGAUCGUCCUUUGAUAGUUGUUUAAUUAUUUUAGUCAAAACCGAUUCUAGUCCUUUUUCCCUCUUAAUGCGCUAGACAUUUGGAAAAUUUUAGAAUGGUCAAAUAUUAUAGCAUUUGCAAUCGAUCCUAUACCCGAAGCGUAUGGGACACGAUGCAUAAUGUCUUACAUAAAGAUAUGAUACUUUAUCAAUCUUCUGCCAUAAUAUUUUAUGUGUCACGUUCUCACAAUUCGAACUAUGAAGAGGAAUGCCGUAAUCAUAAUCGAAAUUUGAGAACACACUAUGUUUCCUUGACUAAUUUAUUAACAUUCCACAACCUAAGCCUUUAGAUUUGAAAUGAAGCAUAAUAUUCUCUCCCUUAAUUAUAGCAAAACAACUAUUCAACCCUUACGACUUUGCAAAGUAUAACUCUUGUUUUCUAUAAUUAAUAUUGCUAACUUGCAAUACUUGCCUUAAUAAUCAUACAAGCACAACAUUUAUGCUCCCACUAUCAUGAUGAUUAUUAUCAUAUAAGCAUAACACUUAUGCUCCCACUAGCUUUGACAUGUAUUCAGAAAACAUCUUAACUUCCAGAAAAACAAUACCUAUUGAAUUUCUUAAGUUCAUAUUUUUUAAUACUUAAUGCUUUGAUAAUCCUUUAUCUAAGCUUAUACACCUUUGCCUUAGAUAGCUCAUAUGUGUGUCUAAACAAUUCAGACUAAUUGUCAAAUCUCACAAUUCGAAUCAUGGAAAGGGAUACCGUAACCAUAAUUGAAUUCGAGAACCCAAUUUUCACAAUCACUGUAUUCUUAAAAUCUUUCUUAGUGAAAGCAUUUCCUCACAGUCAUCUUNNNNNNNNNNNNNNNNNNNNNNNNNNNNNNNNNNNNNNNNNNNNNNNNNNNNNNNNNNNNNNNNNNNNNNNNNNNNNNNNNNNNNNNNNNNNNNNNNNNNCUUGUUUUGGAACGAAGUAUGAUUGACUUUUGAUUCAACCAUUUCAUCAAUUCUUGAUUCCUCUUCUAAAAAUCACUUAGAGGAUCAAUUGAGAUAUGGUUCUUAAUCAUUAAGACCUAUCAUAAAACAUAAUAAAAGGUACUCUCCCUUCUUCUUAUAAUAGAGAAACUUUUAUCUUUCUGCCUACUUGAUUCUUCUUAUUCGUUCUGCUAUUGAUUUAAACCUUUUCAAUCAAUUCAGAAUUACACUUAAUCUUAUAAGUAUAAUCAUAUUUACUAAACCUUUAGUAAAUCAUGACGAAUAUCUUUGUUACUCUUAUGGUGGACUUGAUCAACACGCAACUUUGUGUACUCGAUCUCCUAGUCCUUCACUUGACACUUUGUCAAUGAAUUAGUCUAAUUUCCAAAUAUGAAAUUUCUCAUUCAUCAUGCAACCAAGUUGUAUGAUUCCAAGUUUCUGUCCAAUUGAAACUUGGGCGAUGAGAAACUUUCCCUAUUUGGUAAAUUCUUGACCUUUCCACAAUUAACAUAAUUAAGAAUCAAAUCCAUUAUUGCUAAUAAUAGAAACUUACAAACAUCAAUUUUUUUCAUACACGCCAUUGCAAGGAUAAAUAAAUAAUCAAAAUAUAUUUUAUUGCGGAAAAAUUUGUCCUUACAAUGCUAUUCAUUUAAAAACUAUGUUAAUACAUAUUUCUUAGCAAUCUAUUCUAACUCUAAGUAGUAGCUCAAGAUUCUAAUCUUCAAAUAAUGCGAUCGUAAUCCAUUUCUUCAUGAUUAGAUUCCGCUCACUUCUUCCCUUAAGCUUCCUCUCUUUUCUUCGAUCCUACAAAACAUUGAAAUGUAAUCUUAUCACAUCAUGUAUUAAGAAUCUAGAAUAGGAACUUAAAAGAGUUAGUUAAUGGAUUUUACCUAAAGUNUUUUGACUCUCCCAUUUCUUAGAUCUCUUAGGUAAAUAAAGCAGCUUCGUCUCCAAUGCCCCUUCUCUUGGCAAUAAAAGCAAAUUGACUCUUUCAGAACAGCACAUGGAACUGAUGGGUUUGAGCCAUAAGAACAUUCCUAUGUGUACAUACANNNNNNNNNNNNNNNNNNNNNNNNNNNNNNNNNNNNNNNNNNNNNNNNNNNNNNNNNNNNNNNNNNNNNNNNNNNNNNNNNNNNNNNNNNNNNNNNNNNNAUCCAUAGAGGUCUGGAAGGUAGAUUCACCAAUCAACUUUGCUUUCCUUUGCGCCAAACCAUUGCUGGUUCAAUAGCAAUAAGCAUAUAGGUGAGAUCUAUAAGGGUCACGUCACGGUUCAUCAUAUAGUACUCUCUUACGAACUUACUAUACAAGUUAGGAAGUGACUGAAGAACCCAGUCAAUAGCCAGCUCCUCACAGACAACGAAUCCCAACAUUCUUAACCUAUCAAUGUGUGACUUCAUCUCUAGGAUGUGUGCACACACCGACUUUCCUUCUUCAUGUUUACUUGCCAAAAGGGCUUGAGUGAGCUUGAACUUUUCAAGCCUUCGAACUUNGGAGGAGGUGGAGGAAAUGAAGCAUGAUCUCUUGUUCCUCGAUCGAAUCGUGGAAUAUCAUCUUCAUGUGGAAAGCUUGUUCCAUGGGAUUUGGGAAUACCAUAGAUGUCAUACUUUGACAUCUACAAAAUGGGAGAAAACAAAUUCAAGUUAUUUGAUUGAUUGAGUCCUUAAUAAAUCACCCAAAUGAGAUAUUAAGGCUAGGACCCAACACAAUACGCUACAACCUAGAAAAGGGAUGUCGUAAUCUAGUUGCAGACUAUUUGAAGGUAAGUGAAUGACAAUUCACUAAUUUUCCACCAUGAAAAACAAAAAACCGAUUAAGUUUUAAAUGCUUUGAAAACUCCUAGAUCCUUUGAGAUUCAUUUAACUUUUCAAUGGCAUGUUUAAAUCUCGAUAUGCCCCUCGAAUUGUGACUGGGAUGCCGAGGAUCACAAAACAGGGUGUGAAUAACCAUGGAAACUUACAUGGUGCCCCCACAUGUUACAGUCAUCUAUUUGAUGUGCCAGUAAACCACACACGCUCCACCGAACUAUGACAAACAUUGAGUCACCCUUUGCUACCUUCGCUUAGAACCAUUUAGUGUGCCGGUAAACCACACACGCUACACUAACGUCUUCGCAAGGGCACAAAGUGUAAUUUCAUGGAAUUGCAUCAAUUCACUUUUGCCUAAGUAACUAAGAUUGGGAAUUUUAUGAAAACAUUUAGUUACUUUUGUACUUCAUUAUACUUAUAAUGGAAGGUUUCGUCCUAUCCUACCCGUUCGGCUAACGACCCUCCACUAGUCAAGAGUGCGGUGGGUAAG
rnacentral:lncRNA from 1 species